UACGAAGGGGGCGAGCGUUGUUCGGAAUUACUGGGCGUAAAGGGCGCGCAGGCGGUCUUCCAAGUCGGGCGUGAAAGCCCCGGGCUCAACCCGGGAAGUGCAUUCGAAACUGCGAGGCUAGAGUAUCGGAGAGGUUGGUGGAAUUCUCGGUGUAGAGGUGAAAUUCGUAGAUAUCGAGAGGAACACCGGUGGCGAAGGCGGCCAACUGGACGAAUACUGACGCUGAGACACGAAAGCGUGGGGAGCAAACAGG
rnacentral:rRNA from 1 species